CAGUCGCCGCGGUAAUACGUAGGGGGCGAGCGUUGUCCGAAGUUACUGGGCGUAAAGCGCGCGUAGGCGGCUUCUUAAGUCUGAGGUGAGAGGUUCAACGUUUAGCGUGAACAGUGCCUUGGAUACUGGGGAGCUUGAGUAUGGGAGAGGGCGGUGGAAUGGCUGGUGUAGCGGUGGAAUGCGUAGAUAUCAGUCGGAACACCCAUGGCGAAGGCAGCUGCCUGGCCUAAUACUGACGCUGAGGUGCGAAAGCGUGGGGAGCGAACGGGAUUAGAUACCCGCGUAGUCCCUGUCUCUUAUA
rnacentral:rRNA from 1 species